GUUUCCGUGGUGUAGCGGUUAUCACGUUCGCCUCACACGCGAAAGGUCCCCGGUUCGAGACCGGGCGGAAACA